GACGAACGCUGGCGGCGUGCUUAACACAUGCAAGUCGAACGGUAAGGCCCUUCGGGGUACACGAGUGGCGAACGGGUGAGUAACACGUGGGUGAUCCGCCCUGCACUUCGGGAUAAGCCUGGGAAACUGGGUCUAAUACCGGAUAGGACCACUGCCUGCAUGGGUGGUGGCGGAAAGCUUUUACGGUGUGGGAUGGGCCCGCGGCCUAUCAGCUUGUUGGUGGGGUGAUGGCCUACCAAGGCGACGACGGGUAGCCGGCCUGAGAGGGUGACCGGCCACACUGGGACUGAGAUACGGCCCAGACUCCUACGGGAGGCAGCAGUGGGGAAUAUUGCACAAUGGGCGCAAGCCUGAUGCAGCGACGCCGCGUGAGGGAUGACGGCCUUCGGGUUGUAAACCUCUUUCAGCACCGACGAAGCGCAAGUGACGGUAGGUGCAGAAGAAGGACCGGCCAACUACGUGCCAGCCGCCGCAGUAA
rnacentral:rRNA from 1 species